rnacentral:rRNA from 1 species
UACGAAGGGGGCUAGCGUUGCUCGGAAUCACUGGGCGUAAAGGGUGCGUAGGCGGUCUUUUAAGUCCGAGGUGAAAUCCUGGAGCUCAACUCCAGAACUGCCUUUGAUACUGAAAGUCUUGAGUAUGGGAGAGGUGAGUGGAACUGCGAGUGUAGAGGUGAAAUUCGUAGAUAUUCGCAAGAACACCAGUGGCGAAGGCGGCUCACUGGCCCAUAACUGACGCUGAGGCACGAAAGCGUGGGGAGCAAACAGG